UUAGGCAAACGCUGCAUUUAAUGUAGAGGAAAGUCCAUGCUCACAAAAUCUGCGAUGAUUUUAGUGUUCACGCUAAGGGAAUAAAUAACCUUAGGUAGUUUUUACUAACGGCGUCGAGGUAACCUGUUAAAUGGUUAUAUUAGACAUAAAGUGCCAAAGAGACGAGUUUAUUUGGAAACGAAUAAAGUGGAACGUGGUAAACCCCGUGAGUGAGAAACCCAAAUUUGGUAGGGGAACCUUUCGAGAUGAAAUGAAAUUAAGAAAGGACUGUAAGGUAGAUAAAUGUUUGCCACCUAUUUAUAGGGACAGAACAUGGCUUAUUA
rnacentral:RNase_P_RNA from 2 species